GGCGUUCCCUCUUACUCAUGGGAGAUCAGCCUUUAUGUUCUAUUCAGACCUUCAGCUGAUUGGCCACUUUCGCCCUCUCCUUGUGGUCCUGUCAAACUCCUGGGAAGGUGGGGAACACUUGCCCUCCUACUUCCUUGCCUGCCUCAGCUCCUCGGCCCACUCCACUUGAGCUUCUGCCUCCUGCACUGUCAUUGGGUGAGUGGCUGAUGGCUCACUGACUGCCAAGUCCAGUGGACAUGGGCAGCCACACCUUACUUGACCUCUUUGGGACUCUCAGCCCUGCUGGCCUUGUCCCAUCUUCGGUCCCUCCCAAGGGCUUCUGAGGUGCCACCGUGCACUGCUGGUGUUUUCACAGCACUGACUGCCACUUUCUGGCUGGCCCCUUCAUCUUGUUUGCUGACUCCUGGUCUUGUGUUUCAGCCUCUAACCCUGGUGUUACCAGAGAUGUUGUAGGUUCUCUUUCAUCCUUGACCUUUUCCGUGGGGUGGGUCACAUCCUUUCUGCCCACUCACCAAUGGCCCUCAAACCUGCCCCACAUCCUUGACUUCUGCCUGUGUUCCCAACCUGUCUCUCCCACUGUUUCUGGACAUUUCUGUCCACAUGCCUCAAGACACAUUGACACACAACCUUCCCCAAACAGAACCCUUUAUCUUCCCACUCACACUCCCUUGAUAUAGCCUAUGGCCCCAACACCAGCCCCACACCGUCCUAUACUCCUCCCUCUCCUCAUGGUCAAUGGCCCACAGACGCUUCCAAGUGGACCUCUUAAUCCCCAUCACAUCCAUUCCUUCUUCCUCAUCCUUAACAACACAUCAAGCUGUCCAGCACCACUUCUUGUUUCCUUUCUAGCCUCCCUUUCUCCCAUUUUCUCACAUUGCUGGAAUGAUCUUGCUAAAAUACAGUUUAGUUGUAUCUGCCCCCACCCCCAGCUCUGGGGGCUAUUACACAGAGCUGCUUAUCAUUUGCUGUAAUUGUCAUGCCCUUUCACAUAUCUAUGGCUUAGCUCAUAUCAUUCCCCUAGCCCAGAAUUAUUCUUUACCCUUUCUGCCUUAUCACAAACUGCCUGGAAAUAAUAAAGCUUAGAGCAGGGUGAAAAAUAUAGAGAACAGAAGAAUGAUAGAGAAAAUUAAUGAAACCAAAGUUGGUUCUUUGAAAUGAUAAAAAAAAUUUGACAAACCUUUAACUAGACUGCCAAAGGAAAAGAAAGAUUCAAAUUACUAAAAUCAAGAACGAAAGAGACAAUUCCAUCUGCAUAUUUUUCAAAUAUAGACAAGUUGAUCUUAUAAUUCAUAUGGGAUUAAAGGAGCCCAGAAUAGCCCAAACAAUCCUGGAAACAAGGUUGGAGGAUGC
rnacentral:lncRNA from 1 species